GUGGGAGAAAAUCGGACACGGAAAGGGCUUGAAUUAUUCGAGUUACCUGUUUCACAGUAUACACUAUAUUAUAAAGCUUCCUGCAUAGGGGUUCUUCGACUUAAUGAUUAAUUAUCAUGUCGCUAAUAUUCUUAUUGUUUUUGAAACCCAUAUCUGGUUUAGAUUUAAAAAUUCGUUUGGCAAUCGGGUCUUUCAGAAUUAUAUACGAGAACUUUGUUAUAAUUUUUUAAAGAUAUUUAGCAUUAUAAUGAUACGUUGUCUGCCUGUUAUUUUGUUUCUUCCGAAGUUUUAACUGUCUGUCUUCGUGACGAAUUUUGUGCAAUAUUUGACUGACGAUUUCUUUCGUGUAUCCCCGUCUUGAUAAUUUAUCUAUAAACAGUUUAAUACGUUUAUUAACAUGGUCCUUAUUGCUGGUGUUUCUAACAAUUGUAAUUCCUUGUCCUUCAAAAACAGAAGAGAAACAGGUAGGGGCAUGACUAUGAGCUUCUAUGUUAAUUUUUUUUAUCUUGUAUAUUUAUUCAACUUCAUCUCAUCAUCUCAUUUUUACAAUAUUUACAUAUGUAAUAGAAAACAUCAAGUCCCUAUACUCUUUGGCUUCCUCAUUCUUACUCUAUCAUUCAUUUUUUUUAAUUCUUUUUUUUGAACUUUUUUUUUUUUAUUAUCUCACACACGGUUAAAAUAUUAUCUCAAAGUAUUGUCAGACAAUUAAAUAGUUAUUAAACAUGUUAAAUCUAAUAUCUAAAGUCAAUAUUUUCCAUAAUAGUAAAAGUGUCUUUAUCAAAAGUCAAAGAUUC
rnacentral:lncRNA from 1 species